rnacentral:rRNA from 1 species
AACGAACGCUGGCGGCAUGCCUAACACAUGCAAGUCGAACGAACCCUUCGGGGUUAGUGGCGCACGGGUGCGUAACGCGUGGGAAUCUGCCCUUUGCUUCGGAAUAACAGUUAGAAAUGACUGCUAAUACCGGAUGAUGUCUUCGGACCAAAGAUUUAUCGGCAAAGGAUGAGCCCGCGUAGGAUUAGGUAGUUGGUGGGGUAAAGGCCUACCAAGCCGACGAUCCUUAGCUGGUCUGAGAGGAUGAUCAGCCACACUGGGACUGAGACACGGCCCAGACUCCUACGGGAGGCAGCAGUGGGGAAUAUUGGACAAUGGACGCAAGUCUGAUCCAGCAAUGCCGCGUGAGUGAUGAAGGCCUUAGGGUUGUAAAGCUCUUUUACCAGGGAUGAUAAUGACAGUACCUGGAGAAUAAGCUCCGGCUAACUCCGUGCCAGCAGCCGCGGUAAAAC